UGACAGCAUCCGUUAAUUCCCCCACACAGACGUCAUGGAGAGCUGCAGCCCCGUGACUGGUCCCUCAACCUGUGUCUUGCCCUGUUCUCUUGCAGCUUGCUACUCAGGAGAAAAAAGCCCACGAGAACUGGCUCAAAGCCCGCAAUGCAGAGCUCCUGAUUGCAGAGGAGAAGCGGCAGGCCGCCAACCUGCGGCAGAGGUUAGCAGCGCGUGGCGCGAUGUGUGGCGCCCAUGUUUCAGCCCACUCAGGGUGGCUGUGGUCAUCCCCAGCCCUACUCUGUCUGUGUGCAGGCUGGUGGAGAUUACCCAGAAGAUGGAUAUGCUUCAAGAGGAGCCUGGGAUCAUUAAGCGGAUGCCGGACUGGCCUGGAGUGCAGAACGGCCCCCACAGAGGUGGGCGCUCUGUCCUUCUGAGUGCGACUCGGGGAUCUUAGCCACUGCGAGAACUGGUAACCAGCACGUGUGUUGUCUCCGCAGGUCCCCUGAGCCAGAACAGCUCCUUUGGCCCGUCCCCUGUGAGUGGCGGUGAGUGCUCCCCGCCCCCAGGGGCAGAGCCCCCUGGAUGGCUGUCCACUGCGAGCCUGAACUUCGCAGACAUUCCCAGGGCCGACUUCGGUGAGCCUCUCCGGGGCCUCGCGGCCCGGACUCAGGGACACCGUGCUGCCUUGCCCCGGGCAUGGUUCCCUGAGCUCUGGUACAAAGCCCGGGCACUCCCGGCUCAGGUUUCCACUUAGCCCUGGGCACUGUGCAGGUCCACCUCGAUUGCAGUGCAGGAGCAGGGUCCUGGGAGCCGUCGCCCACCCGGUCACUCCCAGGGCCGCGGUGUCGCCCACUCCCUCUCUGCAGUGUUCAAUGAGUGGGCGCACUUUCUUCACCACUCACCUCCGGGCCACCAGGGGCCGCUCCCGAGCUAGGCAGGCCCGCGUGUUGCUGGUUCCGUGUGCUGCUACCAAAGCGCAUGGCUGCCGAGUGCGGGCUCAGUCUUCCGCGUCCCUGUUUUCCUCCUCCACAGCCUGAGACCUAAAGCAGCCUCCGCCUCUGGCUGGGGCUGCCGCAGCGCAGCCUUCCCAGCUCCCCAGGUCCGCGAAGUGCUGACCAGAUGGAGGCCGCGCAUGCUCAGAGGCCUCCUUCGACCCCCG
rnacentral:lncRNA from 1 species